GAUAUGGCUCAGGAUGAACGCUGGCGGCGUGCUUAACACAUGCAAGUCGAACGGAGUAUUGGAAAUGAAGUUUCGGAUGGAUUUUUAAUACUUAGUGGCGGACGGGUGAGUAACGCGUGGGUAACCUGCCUCACACAGGGGGAUAACAGUUGGAAACGGCUGUUAAUACCGCAUAAGACCACAGUACCGCAUGGUACAAGGGGUAAAAAACUCCGGUGGUGUGAGAUCGGACCCGCGUCUGAUUAGUUAGUUGGCGGGGUAACGGCCCACCAGGACGACGAUCAGUAGCCGAUCUGAGAGGAUGACCGGCCACAGUUGGGACUGAGACACCGGACCCAAACUCCGUACGGGAGGCAGCAGGUGGGGAAUUAUUGCACAAGUGGGGGAAACCCUGAUGCAAGCGACGCCGCGUGAGUGAAGAAGUAUUUCGGUAUGUAAAGCUCUAUCAGCAGGGAAGAAAAUGACGGUACCUGAGUAAGAAGCCCCGGCUAACUACGUGCCAGCCGCAGC
rnacentral:rRNA from 1 species